UUGUGAUAAUCAUCGCUUGUAUUUGAAAGAGCUUUAUAGCUGGUAAAGGCUUCUCACUACCUUCAUCUCAUUUAAUCCUUAAAAAACAUAGGAUGCCAAAGUGCCUCUCCUUCUUGGGGUAGAGAGGGAGAGGGGAAAGGCCGGAGCCCCUGAACCCUUGACCGAGUGGUCUGACCUUCCAGGCGGCCAGUGGGUCGGGCUCCAACUAUGAUGGCAAAAUGCAGGAGACAGGGAUCAUUUGUCUCCCUCGCUCUCCCUCCUUUUGCCUCCCUCUCCCUCUUUCUCCUUCCCUCUCCCUUCCUCCCCAUCCUUCUCUCUCUCUAAUUACAGAACAAUACACAUUUGUGGUUAAAAAAAUUCAAACAAUUCAGAAAUGUACGAAACAUAAAUGUACAAUAUAAAAAGGGAAAGUUUUCCAAAUCCACUUUCCCAAAUAUAGUCAUGGUAAGAUGUUCAGUCGUUUUCUUAUUUUUCCAUGCAUGGCUGAACAUAUUUAUGCAAUUUAUAAAUACUUGCAUCUUAAAAAAAAAAAAAGGAGGGGGGAUCUUGCUACACAUGCCAUUCAGUUAAAUCUGUUCAAUUUAACAAUGUAUCAAAGACUAUAUCUUUCCCAAACAGAAUAUAUAAAUCUAGACCACUUUUUAACAGCUGCAUAGUAUUUCUUUGUAUGAAUGUAUCAUUAUUUAAUUGCAUAAUCAGAUGGUUUUCAGUUUUUAUUUAAAAAAAGCCAAACUAAACAUAUAUGACAUAUAUGAAUAUACAUCAUAUAUGGAUAUAUAUCAAUAUAUAUGAAUAUACAUCAUAUAUGAAUAUAUACCAAUAUAUAUGAAUAUAUAUCUGUAUAUAAAUAUACACUGUACAUUGUGAAAGUAUUAUUUUAGGAUGAGUUCCUAAAAUUUCUAAUCCGAAACAGCACUGGGUCAAAGGUAAGGCACAUUUUAAAUUUCAAUAGACACGGCCAAAUCGUUCAAUAAAAGUGUUGCACUAAUUUACAAUGCAUGUAAGAAAGUUAACUGUUACUGUAUGACAUUACUGUGUGAAACCUAACUGCCUUCCACUCAUACCUGACCUGAGCAUUUGUAAAUCUUUUCAAUUCUUGUUCAUGCAACAAGAUAAAAAUCUGAUAUUUUAAAAAGUGAACUUGAGAAUAUUUCUAAUAAUAUUUUUACUGGCUAAUUGCUAUUUUUCUUCUAUAAAUUGUAUCUUCUGCCCAUUCUCUUUUGGUUUACUUCUCUUUUCUUAUUGAUUUGAAGAAAUUCCUUUGAAUACUUUGCAAAGAUUUUUCCCAGUUCAUUUUCUACCUUUCGAUUCUGUAAUACAGAAAUGUGAAAUGCUUAAAAUAGUCAAAUUGGCCAAUCUUUAUCUUUAUGGUUGAUAGGUUUCAUGCCAUGCUUAGAAAAACUUUUUCAAACCUCCAGAAAAUUAAAAUAUUCUGCUGUAUUUCCUCUUAACAUUUUUAUGAUUGUUUCCUUAUUUUAUUUAGCAGAUUUUUUAAAAGAUUGAUUUAUUUAUUUUAGAGAGAGAGAGCACAAGCAGGAGGAACGGAGGGAGAGGGAAAGAGAAUCUCAAGCACACUCCAUGCUGAAUGUGGAGCCUGACGAGGGGCUCGAUCCCACAACCAUGAGAUCAUGACCUGAGCCAAAACCAAGAGUUGGAUUCCCAGCUGACUGGGCCACAAAGGGCGGAGCAAGAUGGUGGAGGAGUAGGAGACCUGGAUUUCGUCUGGUCUCAGGAAUUCAGCUGGAUGGGGAUCAAACCAUUCUGAACACCUACAAACUCAACAGGAGAUCGAAGAAAAGAAGAGCAUCAACUCUCUCAUCAGAAAAGCGACCACUUUCUGGAAGACACCCUAUGAGACAAGCAUUUUUAUCACCACUUCGACGAUAAGAAAACACACUCACAGACAUCCGAUGGAUCAUCCCCAUUACACCGCGUGCAGCAGUGAAAAGGAGAGGUGAAGCAGCAAAGCAAUUCUCAGAGACUCCGUUUGGAGGAAAAGAGGGAGGAAGGGGACAUGUUAAAAAUUGGAUUUAUCAUCUGUCUCUGUUGUCCUGAUUCACCAGAUGCAUUUCAAACACUUAGGGUAAGGCAGAAGGUUGCAUAUUCAGCCAGUGAGGGCAGGAUGCCUUUAUAGCCAAUUGUCUCCCCAAAAUACAAAACCUAUUGCCUAAAACAUCAGGCUGGCUGUGGAAUUGAGCUCGGGUUUAAUGAACAGAGAAAUCAAUGAUACUUACUGAGCAUCUCCGAUGUCCCUGCUCUGGAGAAAACAGGGCACAGGGUAACUUUGUGCAAAACAUUUAAUACUUCCGACUCCAGGCUACCCUGUCUGAGAAAUUAGGAUACUAAUAAUACUGGCUCUUCCAAACUGACAGGCUUAUUGUAAAGCUCAAAUAAGGUAAUAGAUGUGGAAGGGAUUUGUAAGCUCUAAAGUGCCAGGGAAAUGCAAAGUAACAUUAUUACACAAUGAACCAGUAGGUCUGACCCCUGCUCAGAAGGAGCUUGCAACCUAUCUGGAGGAACAAAGCAUCAACAUAUCAAAUGUAAGUACCAGCAUAAGGAUUACAUUAUAGGAAAGACAACAUGACAAGUGGUUUGGCAAGAUAAUAUGCAAUUAUUUGCAAGGGAGAGGUACAGACAAUGAGAUUUAUGAAUUUAAAAUAGGUAGCAAUCUCAGUGAGCUGGAGUGAUGUGGACAGGCUUUGUGGCAGAAGCAACUCUGGAUCUGGCCUUGGACGGUGAGUAGGUUGAGCAAAGAGCAUUCGGUAUCAUUCCUGCGGCAUGCCCGAGCUCCUUGCCCAGAUCCAGGUAAAGACAUGCUGAGAUAGAAUACACACCACUCCUGCAUGUGGUCUACUGUCUGAGGCCCACUGAGGUAAGACAAAGUGAGCUUCAAAAGAAGUCCCUGAAAAAA